GCUGCAAACUGGAUGGAAGAUUGAAUCUUGAUUUUGAUGAUUAAUGUCAACCAAGAACCUAAAAUGUUUGAGGGAAGUAAUGAAGCCUCCAUGAAAAUCCAAAAGGAAUGGGUUUGAGGAGCUUUCAGGUGACUGAGUUGGACCAUAAAGAAAGCUGAGCACUGAAGAAUCAAUGCUUUUGAAAUGUGGUGUUGGAGAAGAUUCUUGAGAGUCCCUUGGACUGCAAGGAGAUCCAACCAGUCCAUCCUAAAGGAAAUCAAUCCUGAAUAUUCAUUGGAAGGACUGAUGCUGAAGCUGAAACUCCAAUACUUUGGCCACCUG
ensembl:lncRNA